rnacentral:rRNA from 1 species
GACGAACGCUGGCGGCGUGCUUAACACAUGCAAGUCGAACGGAAAGGCCCUGCUUUUGUGGGGUGCUCGAGUGGCGAACGGGUGAGUAACACGUGAGUAACCUGCCCUUGACUUUGGGAUAACUUCAGGAAACUGGGGCUAAUACCGGAUAGGAGCUCCUGCUGCAUGGUGGGGGUUGGAAAGUUUCGGCGGUUGUGGAUGGACUCGCGGGUUAUCAGCUUGUUGGUGGGGUAGUGGUUUACCAAGGCUUUGAAGGGUAGCCGGCCUGGGAGGGUGACCGGCGACCUUGGGACUGAGAUACGGCGCAGACUCCUACGGGAGGCAGCAGGGGGGAAUAUUGCACAAUGGGCGGAAGCCUGAUGCAGCAACGUCGCGUGCGGGAUGACGUCUUUCGGGUUGUAAACCGCUUUCGCCUGUGACGAAGCGUGAGUGACGGUAAUGGGUAAAGAAGCACCGGCUAACUACGUG